AUUCCAGCUCCAAUAGCGUAUAUUAAAGUUGUUGCGGUUAAAAAGCUCGUAGUUGGAGUUCUGCCAGGUGCCGCCUGUCCGCCCCAGUGGUGAGUACGUGGCGCGCAUUUGGCCCUUUCAAGGGGAGCGUAUCUGCACUUUAUUGUGUGGUGCGGGAUCCUUGACUUUUACUUUGAGGAAAUAAGAGUGUUCCAAGCAGGCUCUCGUCGUGCAUAGCUCAGCAUGGAAUAAUAGCAUUGGAUCUCGAUUCCAAACUGUUGGUUGUAGGAAACGAGAUAAUGAUGAAGAGGGAUAGUUGGGGGCAUUCGUAUUUAACUGUCAGAGGUGAAAUUCUUGGAUUUGUUAAAGACGAACUACUGCGAAAGCAUCUGCCAUGGAUGUUUUCAUCG
rnacentral:rRNA from 1 species